CCUACGGGUGGCAGCAGUGGGGGAUAUUGCACAAUGGGGGAAACCCUGAUGCAGCGACGCCGCGUGUGGGAAGACGGUCCUCUGGAUUGUAAACCACUGUCCCCAGGGACGAAGAUGACGGUACCUGGGGAGGAAGCUCCGGCUAACUACGUGCCAGCAGCCGCGGUAAUACGUAGGGAGCGAGCGGUUUCCGGAAUUACUGGGUGAAAAGGGAGCGUAGGCGGGGAUGCAAGUUGGGUGGCAAAACUACCGGCUAAACUGGUAGUCGCACUCAAAACUGCAGCUCUUGAGUGAAGUAGAGGCAGGCGGAAUUCCUAGUGUAGCGGUGAAAUGCGUAGAUAUUAGGAGGAACACCAGUGGCGAAGGCGGCCUGCUGGGCUUUUACUGACGCUGAGGCUCGAAAGUGUGGGGAGCAAACAGGAUUAGAUACCCUUGUAGUC
rnacentral:rRNA from 1 species